rnacentral:snRNA from 1 species
GUGCUCGCUUCAGCAGCACAUAUACUAAAAUUGGAACGAUACAGAGAAGAUUAGCAUGCCCCCUGAGCAAGGAUGACACACAAAUUCAUGAAGCGUUUCAUAACUUU